rnacentral:rRNA from 1 species
GACGAACGCUGGCGGCGUGCUUAACACAUGCCAGUCGAGCGAGGCCCCUCCUUCGGGAGGGUGUCCUAGCGGCGAACGGGUGAGUAACACGUGGGCAACCUGCCCUCAGCUCUGGGAUAACUCCGGGAAACCGGGGCUAAUACCGGAUACGACCUCCACGGGCAUCUGCGGAGGUGGAAAGUUUUUCGGCUGAGGAUGGGCCCGCGGCCUAUCAGCUAGUUGGUGGGGUAGUGGCCCACCAAGGCGACGACGGGUAGCCGGCCUGAGAGGGCGACCGGCCACACUGGGACUGAGACACGGCCCAGACUCCUACGGGAGGCAGCAGUGGGGAAUAUUGCGCAAUGGGCGAAAGCCUGACGCAGCGACGCCGCGUGAGGGACGAAGGCCUUCGGGUUGUAAACCUCUUUCAGCAGGGACGGAGCGAAAGUGACGGUACCUGCAGAAGAAGCACCGGCCAACUACGUG